rnacentral:rRNA from 1 species
GUCGACCUCGGAUCAGGUAAGGCUACCCGCUGAACUUAAGCAUAUCAAUAAGCGG